rnacentral:rRNA from 1 species
GAGUUUGAUCAUGGUUCAGAUUGAACGCUGGCGGCAGGCCUAACACAUGCAAGUCGAGCGGAAACGAUGGAAGCUUGCUUCCAGGCGUCGAGCGGCGGACGGGUGAGUAAUGCAUAGGAAUCUGCCCGGUAGUGGGGGAUAACCUGGGGAAACUCAGGCUAAUACCGCAUACGUCCUACGGGAGAAAGCAGGGGAUCUUCGGACCUUGCGCUAUCGGAUGAGCCUAUGUCGGAUUAGCUGGUUGGUGAGGUAACGGCUCACCAAGGCGACGAUCCGUAGCUGGUCUGAGAGGAUGAUCAGCCACAUCGGGACUGAGACACGGCCCGAACUCCUACGGGAGGCAGCAGUGGGGAAUAUUGGACAAUGGGGGCAACCCUGAUCCAGCCAUGCCGCGUGUGUGAAGAAGGCUUUCGGGUUGUAAAGCACUUUCAGUGGGGAAGAAGGCCUUGGGCUAAUACCCUCGAGGAAGGACAUCACCCACAGAAGAAGCACCGGCUAACUCCGUGCCAGCAGCCGCGGUAAUACGGAGGGUGCGAGCGUUAAUCGGAAUGACUGGGCGUAA